GCACCCCGGAGAUUUAGUUUCGGCUGCGCUAGCCGGUGGCCGUUUCUACCCGUUUCUGAUGACGUCAUAACGUGUAGGUUAUUUGGCCACUCGGUAUAGCAGCUGGUUCUUCGCAUGGUGGUCGAUUGCAGUUAUCAGCAUGUCAAAACGGAGUAACACAGAUGAGGAAGGUGAGCCCAGCAAGAAGCCGAAGCCUGUUGGGGGAAACCGGUGUGUCUUGUAUGGGUGCAGCAACACUAUUCAUGAUGGCUUUGCCAUACAUGAACUACCGAAGGAA